rnacentral:rRNA from 1 species
UACGUAGGGGGCUAGCGUUGUCCGGAUUUAUUGGGCGUAAAGAGCGUGUAGGCGGCCAGGUAGGUCUGCUGUGAAAACUCGAGGCUCAACCUCGAGACGUCGGCGGAAACCAUCUGGCUAGAGUCCGGAAGAGGAGAGUGGAAUUCCUGGUGUAGCGGUGAAAUGCGCAGAUAUCAGGAAGAACACCCGUGGCGAAGGCGGCUCACUGGCCCGGUACUGACGCUGAGGUGCGAAAGCCAGGGGAGCGAACGGG